GAUAAACCAAUUCAUAUCGUUCAACCGUUUAUAGGGUUUGGGGAUUCUCCUCUCUCUCCAUCCUCUUUCGAAAACAACGAUUCUUCCUUCAAUCUCAGAUCUCGUCCGAAGCUUCGUUCUCUAACCUCGAUCGAUACCAGAUCCGUAUAGAUCCGAUGGAGAUCUACAUGCCGAUGGUGGUUUUGUUCAGAAAUUUCAUAGAUCUGAAUUUUCGUGCAUCAGAUCUACAAUCCAGAGGUAUGGUGGUGGAUCCUUGAGGAAGAUCGUAGAUCCGGUGUUGAAUCAUAGCGAUUCAACCUAUGAUGAUGAUGAUCGAUGUAUCAGCUUCCGAUUUGUUCUCUGUGGCGAAUUUUGGCGAAUCAACGUUGAUGAAUCUCGUUUUCGUUUAACAGAUUCAGAUGUUACACAUCUCGGUUAUUGUAAAUAUGUAUAUAUGAUGAUGAAGAUUGGAAGUUUUCGGGUUGGGAUAAAAUGGAUGUAGGAUAUAUCUUAGGGAUUUAAGUGCCUUUAUGCGCUGAGCGUAUGAAGGAUUAAAUCCUGAGUGAUCUUGUCAUCCGACCUUUGCCAUGUCAGGUGCGCUUGCUUGGCAGGUCAAAAAAUAAUAAUAAAAAAAGUUUUGUUGGUUUUUGAGAGAGAUCGCACGGGGUUUUUGCCCGGGAUCUUCUCUCGUGUGUGGUGUUGUUGCCUUGCCUUGUUUCUUUUCCUUGUUCCUCUUUAUAUUUUACACGCAUCGCGCUCUACUCACAAUAGCACUGGACGGAUUCAUUGAAGCUAAUCUCAACACUCCAAGGUAAUCUAUCAUGUUUCAGUCGAAUCAAUUUCAGUAACAAGUUUAAUUUAUUUUUCUAUUAAUAAUCAAUAAACACAAUAUAACAAUUUAACUUAAAAACCUAAUUUUAGUCGUCAAUUAUUGAUUUUUUGCAAUAGUAUUUGCAGUUGAAUUAUUUCUGCAAAUCUAGUUUUGAAGUUAUAAACAAACCAAUGCCAAAAUUAAUAAAGAAUCUUGGUUCUAAUUUAAUGCAGUAUCAAUAUUUAAUUAUUUUAUUUACGCUCCUCCAUAUAGCUACAGCUAUUUUAAUCUACCUAGAUUCCAAUUACAGUUAUUUUAGUUUCCAAAUUAUAUUGUAUUAAUUUGAACCAUUAGUCCGUUUGUCAAAUGUAAACUAUGGUUUCCGCUUCGGCUGUUGUACUUUGUAAUUGCAGUUAUAGUUCUAUCCCAAGAAAUUAGUACAUCAUGUAACAGGAUCAUAGCUCUGUAAGUUCAUCAGGGGAAAUAUGGACUGUUACUGUGAAUUGAGUGCAUUGUUAUACCGAUUCAGUAGGAGGACUAGAAGAUAAUGCAAUGAAGCCAUGGUGGGAUGCUUUUGUUUUACUCAACAUCUUCUAUCGGUAUGGUGAUCAAUCAUUAAGGUGAAGAUGAUCAAUCAUUAAGGUGAAGAUGACUUCGGUUCUCAUAUGUUAAGUGAAGUUAAUGAAAUAUUUAUUCAGUUUAUUUAUGUUCAGCAAUGCAUUUACAUCAUACACAAAUCAUUAAAUAUUUGAGUCAUCUCCCUCAAACUGAGUGGAAAAUGACUUGGUUCUUUCACUUGUUCAGUCUAAGAAAAUGGAAUGUUGUUAUUCAGUAAUCAUCAUUAUUCAGUAAUGUUGUUAUCAUACGCAUUAAGUUUAUCCAUUUACUUUACCGUGAAUGGGGCUCCCCCCUUUAUAUAAUGAGGUUUUGCA